GACGAACGCUGGCGGCGUGCCUAAUACAUGCAAGUCGAACGCUUUUUCUUUCACCGGAGCUUGCUCCACCGAAAGAAAAAGAGUGGCGAACGGGUGAGUAACACGUGGGUAACCUGCCCAUCAGAAGGGGAUAACACUUGGAAACAGGUGCUAAUACCGUAUAACACUAUUUUCCGCAUGGAAGAAAGUUGAAAGGCGCUUUUGCGUCACUGAUGGAUGGACCCGCGGUGCAUUAGCUAGUUGGUGAGGUAACGGCUCACCAAGGCAACGAUGCAUAGCCGACCUGAGAGGGUAAUCGGCCACACGGGGACUGAGACACGGCCCAGACUCCUACGGGAGGCAGCAGUAGGGAAUCUUCGGCAAUGGACGAAAGUCUGACCGAGCAACGCCGCGUGAGUGAAGAAGGUUUUCGGAUCGUAAAACUCUGUUGUUAGAGAAGAACAAGGAUGAGAGUAAAACGUUCAUCCCUUGACGGUAUCUAACCAGAAAGCCACGGCUAACUACGUGCCAGCAGCCGCCGUAA
rnacentral:rRNA from 1 species